rnacentral:rRNA from 1 species
GGGGGCAAGCGUUGUCCGGAUUUAUUGGGCGUAAAGAGCGUGUAGGCGGCCAUACAGGUCAGCUGUGAAAACUCGAGGCUCAACCUCGAGACGUCGGUUGAAACCGUAUGGCUAGAGUCCGGAAGAGGAGAGUGGAAUUCCCGGUGUAGCGGUGAAAUGCGCAGAUAUCGGGAAGAACACCCGUGGCGAAGGCGGCACUCUGGGACGGUACUGACGCUGAGACGCGAAAGCGUGGGGAGCGAACAGG